rnacentral:lncRNA from 1 species
AUUUUUAUAAAUGUUCCACGGCACUCAAGAAGGUAUUCUCUGAUACGUUCCACAUUCUGGAUCAGUCCUUCUGUGUGUUUUUUGGUCUGGUUCAAAUCCAGUCUUUUUGUAUGAGGAAUGUGGUUACACUCUCAGCACCUCUUCUGGUUCUCCUCACGUCCCCCAAGAUGGUUCAGCAGCUCUGUUCUCUGUGUUUUGCUGCAGCAUCAUUGGAACAAGAUCUGCCUGUUUGACUGCUGCCUGCUUGGAAUUCCCUUUGUCUGAUGUAGACAGGGCAGACCUUCACCCCACCCCACCCCCGGCCGGGCCAUGUCUCAUUUGCAUUUGACUGAAGUACCUGUGGAGAGUAUUUUCAACUGGAAUUUGAAACUAUUUUUACGCCUUUCUGCCUAUAGUGUGUUUUGACUACCCCCAUUUCUGGGGCCUUUUAAGGUCAGAGCUUUGUUGCUUCUUCAUCAGGUUGGGACUUAGAUGGCCAUGCACGUCUCUCUCUCUCCUGCUGCAAUAAGUCUGGGUCCUCUCUGAGCCUCUCAGCCUUUCAUCUGGACUUUGCAAAGGAAGGGGCUUCUGAGCUUCUCGGGGCUGACAGCAGGGGGCCAGGAGCCCUCUCCCUUUGAGAGGCCGGGGCAGAACUUCUGGAUGAAGAUUACGGAGCUGGGAGGGGUGCACCCACUGGACCAGUCGUGGGCCCAGGGGAGGCAGAGCCUGGCCUGGGAGCAGUGGGUGCUGCGGGCAGGGGGCUGAGAGGGAGAGCUGCGGGAGGUGCUGGCCAGGGUCCACAGUGAGCCCCUUGUACCUCUGGACCCUGGAACGCAGGCCCCACUGAGUCGGUGAGAGGAGAGACUGGUGGGGACCCUGUGCUUCCGACUUCGUCUUCCAGUCAAGGCAGUUCCCAGGAGGGAUUCCACAGAUGACGAUGGCUGAGACGGAGGACAGCAGGCGAGGCAGGUGGGCAUGUCUCUGACCCCAGGCAGCCGGGGCACAGCAGACCUGCAGGACCGUUGGCAUUGGUGCUAGGCCUGAGUGCUCAAGUUUCCCCUGGCUCUUAGAUUUCCUGUUGUGAUGAAAGACUUAAGAUUUUUGUCUUUCAUCCUAAAAGUAAUCUGCAUAGAGUUAAAAAAUCAAGCCAUGGAAAAGCUAGAAAACAAAAGUAAAAUUCCUUUCCCUCACCCAUCCCAGCCCUACUACGCAGAAGUGACUUCUCAAGUGUCUCAGGGUCUCGGAGGUUUCUGCACCCAUACACAUCCUGUCACCGCUGGCCCUGUCCUAGAAGCAUCAGGAUUGUAACUCGUGGGUGGGUUUGCCCGUCGGAUGUCACGUGCUCCCGGACGCUGUGCAGCGCAACACGACAGCAGACACAUCUCUGUGAAGCUGAGGGGACGCGUGUCCCCUGGCUGUGCCUGUGAAAGGGGUGUCCGGGGAGGACUGAGCCUGGGGGACGGGGAGCACGGAGCCGCCGCAGGUGUUUCUUUUCCUAGAUGCGGCUCAUGGCCGCAUCCAGGUUUUGCUUUUCACCUUUGAGUCUGUGAGAAAAUGAGCAG